rnacentral:rRNA from 1 species
AAUAUAUUUAAUACUGCAAAGAAGAUUUAUAAUUAUAUUUUGUUUUAUACCUUUUGCAUAAUGGUUUAAUAAUAUAAUAAUUAAAUUAAUAUUUCCCGAAGUUAGAAGAUCUAAUUUUAUUAUAUUCUUAGAAUUAAUAUAAUAUAUAAUGUUUCAAAAUUAUAAUUGUAAAUAUAAUUAGGGGUGAUAGGCCUAUCAAUUCUAAAGUUAUCUGGAAUAAUUUUAAAUGUAUUUAGUACAAAAUUAAAUUUGAAUAAAAAAAUGUUGAGAUUUUUUUAUUUAUAGUAUAUUAAAUUAUAUUAGGAUUAUGAAUUAAUUAUUCUUAUAAUAUGUAAGUAUUAAGUAUUUUUUAUUUAUUUAUCUAAUUAAUAAAAUUAUAUGUUUAUUAAUUUUUUAAAAAAAUUAAAUAUGUUGAAAUUAGUAUAAUAUAUUUUAUUUAAUUAAGGAACUCGGCUAAUUAUUAUUCAUCUGUUUAUCAAAAACAUAGUCUUAUGUUAUUAAUAUAAGGUGAUACCUGCCCUGUGAAUUCAAUUUUAACGGCCGCAGUACUUUGACUGUGCUAAGGUAGCAUAAUAAAUUGACUUUUAAUUGAGGCCUUGAAUGAAAGGAUAAAUGAAUAAUUUCUGUCUCAAUAAUAACUUAUUAUAAAUUACUUAGAAGGUGAAAAUUCCUUUAUUGAGAUUAAAUAGACGAGAAGACCCUAGGAGUUUAAUUUUUGUUGGGGCGACAGUAUAGCAUUAUAACCUAUAUAAAUAUAAUUUUUAAAACGAAUAGUUUUAAUAAUAAAUAAGCUACCCUAGGGAUAACAGCAUAAUUUAAAUUUAAGUUUGUGACCUCGAUGUUGGA